rnacentral:lncRNA from 1 species
UGCCCGCAGCAAUGACCAAAUCAGACUUGGUGCUAAGUCUGCACCUCCCCAAAGUCAGUGUGUUUGUAUGCUCUGCUGCCACUGCCCCCCGCUGGCCCUGCACAUGAUGUGAACCAUCAGGCAGACCUGGAGUUCUGUCUCCUGGGUGGGCUGCUUGCCAACACCAGGGUGGCUGGCCCCUGCCUGUGUCAGGUCCUGCAGUGUUGACUCUCUUCGUGUGAUGUUGGGCAGGUGGAGCUGGUUGUGCUGAGCCUGAGGAAACAUCCAAUGUGCCAAACUUUCUUGUGUGUUUCCCUCUGCUGGUUAUUUAGUAAGCCCAGGAAAAGAGCAAAUCCUGCCCCCAACAGAUGAUCCUCUCGAUGAGAGUGGUUAUGGUGAUGAUGCCAGCAUGCAGUGGGGAGAUUCGACUUUUCGAGAUUCUUCCAGCCCUUUGCUUCCCACAUUUCAUAAUGCUUGAUGGCAACAGCUCUGCUGACUGUUUGGGAAAAAGACAAUACUUAUGUCCCUUUUAGAGACACUUUACUCAGUCCCUCCCGCAAUGCUUAGUACGCAGAGAAAAUAGUAAAAUUAACCCGAUUUGCUCAUCACUCAGUUUUGGCCGUUAUCAACUAAUGGCCACUCUAGUUUCUACUGGGGUCCCAUAUACUCUGCCUGUCCCCUGAUUAUUUAGGUGCUAAUCCCAACAUUGUAUCCUUUUGAUGCGUUCCAAAGCAAAAAUAUUGAUUCCUAAGCUACCCUUGUGAAUUUUCUGAUUCAGGAGGUCAGGAAUGGGGCCUGGGAAUCUACACGUAUUUUCGAUUCUCCAGGUCUGGGAACCUACAGUAUAAAGGAAUGAGCAUGGACUUUAAGAAAGUCUGAGUUUGAGUCUUGGUUUUGCCCAAGCCUUAUAACUUUGGACGAAAACUUUAAGUUUUUGGACCUUGACCUCUUUGUCUUGAAGGAUCACCAACUCUGUGAACUUGUGGUCCACUAAGACCCUCCAACAUUUUUCACAUUAAAUACAUGCUAUCAAUCUUGUGUCUCUCAGCCUUCCCCUGCCUUGGUGUUAGGCUGGGGGUGGCGGCAGCAGGAUUGCUUGUGAGUUAUCCUCUUUUGUGGUGGUUGCGUCCACAAGAUCUCUCCAAGCUGUGUUCCCUGUCUCCCAUGUGGUGUGUCCCAACACUGUGUCCCCUUUAGUCCCAUUCAAGCUUCCCUCACUCUAUUUGCUCCAACCCACUGUGCCCAGCUCCCUGGGAAACUGAUGGGCAGAACCUAUCCCUAAACAGCAUUCUUCAAUCACAAAAUUCUUGCACCUAGAGUAAAACUGACAUUUGAUUCAGGUCAGUGAUCGUUUUUUCCAACCAAAACCAAAUCCUAAUUUCCGUGGUUGGCAUGCAUGCAGUCAUUUGGUGCUUAUGAAAAAGAAAGCAGGCUUCACUGAAUUGCAAAAACAAGAACUUUGCUGGCUUUUGGUGUGCUCAGCAUUUUUCUGAAUGAAGAUGGCAACUCACAGUGAAUACACAUUUUUUUUUCUGGUUAUUUAAUUAAAUGGAGUUCAGAGGGAAGGAACAUAAAUAAAUAAGACAAGCAAAUUGGGACGCACAUUUGAACUAGAAUGAGAAAAGAGCGGUUUCCUGAGGCGGAACACCUUCACAAUGGAGCACAGCUUUAUUUAGUACAACACUGCCCCUGCAAAUUGUGUCCUCAGUUGUUUUGGGGAGUUGAAUGUAACUUGUGCUUUCACAGCGACAACUAAUAGCAAAGAAAGGCCCUAGGAAAUGCAGGACUGCAAGAGACUGACUUACAGUGGGAAUUUGGGAAGCCAUGUGUUAGAACAAAAAGGAACUGCAACCACCUCACUGUAUGCCUGAGAAACAGAAGCUGAGAUCUCAUUAUUUGCUCAAAGCUGCAUGGCCAGUUGGCAGAGGAGCACAAACCAGCACUCUGGGUUACUGACCAGUGCUCUUUCCAUGGAGAGGUUUAGGUGGUGGUUAGAAGCACAGACACCAGGACAGACUGCCUGGGUUCACACCCCAGCUCUGUCCCUUCCUGGCUGGAUGAUCUUGUGCAAAAGAGUUAAAUCCCAUAGGGGCCACAUCAGCCAGAGUUUCAGUAGGAAACAGAUGGAACACCAAAUUAGGGUCGUUGGAAGGGGUAUUUAUAAAUGAUCAUUUCAAAGAUGUGGGUGGAGCAUGGGGAAAACACAGGCGCCAGUGCAGGGACACAGGACCAGCAGUGUUAGAGCUGUCCCCAGCACUGGGCCAGAAGGAACAAGGGGAGAGAGAGGCUGCAGAGCCUUGUUCUGAAAGCAGCUGUGUCCUCAGGUGGGGGAACCCAGACAGUCACCGUCAUCUUGUAGGGAGGAAACCAGGGUAACGGGUGCACGUCCUCACUCUCCCUUCUCUCCCUCCAUUCUCCUGAUGAGGCUCCUUACUGGCUAAACCCAACUAAAAGCACAGAACACAGAAGCUUGUCUGUGUGGUCUAGCUAGACCUGGCUCCUGGGGUGGAGAGCAUGCCAGAGGAGGGGGGGCAAAUGGAUCUGUGGGAGCAAAUAUAACUAGCUGGCACAGGGCCUCCAUUUCCUCAUCUUAAAAUGGAAUCAUAAUGGAGCCCACUCAUAGUUUGUUGUGAAGAUUGAUAACUGAAUAGAUGAAUAGCUGCAAAGUGCUUAGAAUAGUGCCAUAUAUAUAUAUAGUGUUUAUCAUACAUAUACACAUUAUUAUAGUGCUUACUACAUAACUACCAUAGUGCUUACCAUAGAUAUGUAAUAUAUAGUAAGCAUAUACACAGUAUGCAGAUAUAUAAGAGUAUAGUAAUCAUAUAGCAAGCACUAUAUUACUACAUACAUAAUAUACAUAGCAAGCAUAUACAUAUAUAAUAGUUUAAUGUAUUAUGAUAUUGUAAACUUUCCCCAUUUGCCUUUCUUGGCACUUGCACUACAUAUGGAAGACCCCUCUAUGGUCUGAGUUGAGCAUCUGGUAAACUCUUUAUUACCCCGUCACUAAUAUUUAUGAACUCAAUUUACCUUAUCAUGCAUUUUGAGUAGGAAAGUAAAUAUUUGUCUGCCCCUGAGCUAAAAUUGAUUAAACAACUUGGGGCUGGGCACCAUGGCUCAUGCCUGUAAUUCUAGCACUUUCGGAGAUGGAGGCAGGCGGAUCUCUUUAGGUCAGGAGUUCAAGAUCAGCCUGACCAACAUGGCGAAACCCUGUCUCUACCGAAAAUACAAAAAAAAUUAGCCAGCGUGGUGGCGCAUGCCUGUAAUCCCAGCUACUUGGGAGGCUGAGACAUGAGAGUCAUUUGAAGCCGGAAGGCAGAGGUUGCAGUGAGCCGAGAUCACAACACUGCACUCCAGCCUGAGUGACAGAGCAAGACUCUGUCUCACACACACACACACUCACACACAAAGUGAUUUUUUUCCUGUUGAUAACACGACCACAGCACACCAGUGUUCUCCUUGUGCAAGCCUCAAAAUGAUCAUCAUGAUAACGUUCUAGCUCAUAUAACAAACUUCAGGACUGAAAGCUUUUGAUUCAAUAUUCUGGCAUGGUGCUGAAUGAUUCCUGCAGUUAUUGAAGAGGUCCAUGCCUGCCAUUCUUUUCUUUAGCUCUAUUAAUUUACAUAUAUGUCAAACGAUAACUUCAUUUGAUGUAUCCAACUGACCUUUAUUUCAGGAUUGUUAUGAAUUUUUACUUCAUUUAUGAAAUAUACAACAAAUCAUUUUUAAAAGUAAUAUAUAUACACACAUACACAUAUAUAGGAAGCACUACACUUAUUAAAGUCAGCUAUUGUUAUCAGCUAAGAGGACGUGAUGAGUAUUCCAGUCGGAGGAGACACAGAGAAGGGCUUCAUGACCCAAGUGCUGGCAACAAUUCCUUAAGGAAACGUCGUUCCUUCCCCCACAGCUCACUCC